GGAGUCCCAAUGCAUAGAAUUGUUGUGAACAGAUUUAACUACUGCGUAGUUUUGUGACCAAAUGUAAGAGUGACAACUAGGCAUUGAAACUCUCCAGGACAGAAAUGAGGAAACUACUCCAGAGAGCAUUUGGAGGCUUGAGAUCUCUCAGACCUGGAAGGACUCUUCCUAUAGAAAUAAUACAGGAUGCUCAGUUAAACUAGAACUCUGGAUAAACAAAUGCUUUCCUGCCCCUUGAGACUGAAUAAUUCGUUGCUGCGAAUUUUCUUCCACACAUUGAGGGAAGGAAUGAUUGAAGCUAACUCCUCAAACAGACUUCUGCCCAGAUGCACAGUACGUGUUGCCAAAGCCACAUGGUCAUCCCAUGGAUGUGAAAGGUCCUGUGGUCUUCAUGCUAUGGAUACUUAUGAAAAGACAGCAAAUGUGUAUCAAAUGGUGAAAAAUAUGUAAUAGGCAAUAUGCAUUUAUUCCACAAACCCAAUUCUCGAGGAAAACAUUCUUUGGCAAGCAGUCAAACAAUUUUAAUGUAAAAUUUAAUGCAAUAGGGGUGACAUAUUUUAGAACAAAUUAAUUAGAUUAGUGAAGUGAAAUGGCCUGAGUCAGAAC
rnacentral:lncRNA from 1 species